GAUAAACGCUGGCGGCGUGCAUAACACAUGCAAGUCGAACGAUGAAACUUAAUUGAUUUCUUCGGAAUGAAAAUAAGUGGAUUAGUGGCGAACGGGUGAGUAACACGUGAGUAACCUGCCUUACACAAGGGGAUAGCCUUUGGAAACGAAGAAUAAUACCCUAUAAAGUUAGUCAAUCGCAUGGUAGACUAACCAAAGAUUUAUCGGUGUAAGAUGGACUUGCGUCUGAUUAGCUAGUUGGUGAGAUAAAAGCCCACCAAGGCGACGAUCAGUAGCCGGCUUGAGAGAGUGUACGGCCACAUUGGGACUGAGACACGGCCCAAACUCCUACGGGAGGCAGCAGUGGGGAAUUUUGCACAAUGGGGGAAACCCUGAUGCAGCGACGCCGCGUGAUUUAGAAGGCCUUCGGGUUGUAAAAAUCUUUUUUAUGGGAUGAAAAUGACAGUACCAUAAGAAUAAGGUCCGGCUAAAUACGUGCCAGCAGCCGCGGUAAUACGUAUGGACCGAGCGUUGUCCGGAAUCAUUGGGCGUAAAGGGUACGUAGGCGGCCUAGUAAGUUAGAAGUGAAAUAAUAUAGCUCAACUAUAUAAAGCUUUUAAAACUGUUAGGCUUGAGAGAUGAAAGGGAAAGUGGAAUUCCUAGUGUAGCGGUGAAAUGCGCAGAUAUUAGGAAGAAUACCGGUGGCGAAGGCGACUUUCUGGUCAUCAUCUGACGCUGAGGUACGAAAGCGUGGGUAGCAAACAGG
rnacentral:rRNA from 1 species